GGGAAGACAGCUAGGCUGUCCUGAGAUGGAGACUGUUGUUUUCAGUCCUAGGAGGUAGGAAAGCUUACCCUUCCUGAUGUAGCUUACAUGAGAAGCCUUCUUACGCUGAUGCAUGUGCCCACUGGAUAAGGAAAGUGGAAUACACUGACAGAUCAAUUAUGCCGCUACAGCAGAAAAUGACUCCGUCCUUGCCUGUGUGUAAGUCAUGGGAAGGUCAUUUGUCCCCAGACUGUCAGCUGGGAGAAUUAUGUAAUGGUUACGCAAUGCGGACAGGAUGCAGCCGCCAUCAGCCACCCCGGGCAAAGCAGCUGAGUGGAAGGCAGACUCUUGACUCUUUGUAUCUGUCUUAGUGAUAGGUUUGAACCUGGGCCUCGAGCAUGUUAAGCUAGGCUCCACCCUCAAGCUCC